rnacentral:rRNA from 1 species
UACGUAGGGGGCAAGCGUUGUCCGGAUUUAUUGGGCGUAAAGAGCGUGUAGGCGGCCAGGUAGGUCCGUUGUGAAAACUCGAGGCUCAACCUCGAGACGUCGAUGGAAACCAUCUGGCUAGAGUCCGGAAGAGGAGAGUGGAAUUCCUGGUGUAGCGGUGAAAUGCGCAGAUAUCAGGAGGAACACCGGUGGUGUAGACGGCUCUCUGGACCGUAACUGACGCUGAGGCACGAAAGCGUGGGUAGCAAACAGG